rnacentral:rRNA from 1 species
AUGGACGACGCCGGCCUGGUGCUCGCCGCCGCGUUGACAGGCGCAAUCUUCGUCGUGUUGCUCGUCCUGCUCGUCGUCGUCCUUGUCCGGAGGCGGUGGCUCGACCGCGAGGGCGUGGCGUCCGGCCGCGGCUUCGUCCUGUUCGGCGUCUGUUGCCAGGACGGCACCCAGGGCCGGUUCGUCCGGACGACGUCCCUGGCCAGGAGCCGGCAGCGGGCGGCCCGCGGCGGCGAGGAGGCGGAUGACGAGCCGGGCGAGGGCGAGCUCGAGAGGUGGAAGAAGAUGUUCGGUGGGCCCACCAGGUGCCUGUCCACGAUAGAGGAGGCCACGGAGAAGGGCACGUCGACGGUGGCAACGCCGGCCUUCUGCUCGCCGGCAGCGUCGCCCGACCGAAGAGACGCCAGGGCUGUGCAGACGGCGUCUGCCGGUGUGCUCAAAAGUUGA